CCUACGGGAGGCAGCAGUAGGGAAUUUUGCGCAAUGCGCGAAACCCUGAAGCAGCAACGCCGCGUGGAUGAUGAAGGCCUUCGGAUUGUAAACUUCUUUUGUUAGAGAAGAUAAUGACUGUAUGUAACUAAGAAGCUCUUGCUAACUCCGUUCCAGCAGCCGCGGUAAAACGGAGGGUGCAAGCGUUACUCGGAAUGACUGGGCGUAAAGAGCGCGUAGGCGGCAGAGCAAGUCAGAUGUGAAAGACUAUGGCUUAACCAUAGGACUGCAAUUGAAACUGUUAUUCUAGAGUAUUGGAGAGGUAGGUAGAAUUCUUGGUGUAGCGGUGAAAUGCGUAGAGAUCAGGAGGAAUACUGAUUGCGAAGGCGGCCAGCUGGCACGUAACUGACGCUGAUGUGCGAAAGCGUGGGUAGCAAACAGGAUUAGAUACCCGAGUAGUC
rnacentral:rRNA from 1 species